rnacentral:rRNA from 1 species
GACGAACGCUGGCGGCGUGCUUAACACAUGCCAGUCGAACGGUGAAGCGCCUUCCUUUUUGGUGGGUGUGGAUGAGUGGCGAACGGGUGAGUAACACGUGAGUAACCUGCCCCCUUCUUCUGGAUAACCGCAUGAAAGUGUGGCUAAUACGGGAUAUUCUGGGUCUGUCGCAUGAUGGGUCUGGGAAAGAUAUUGUUUCGGUGGGGGAUGGGCUCGCGGCCUAUCAGCUUGUUGGUGGGGUGAUGGCCUACCAAGGCGGUGACGGGUAGCCGGCCUGAGAGGGUGGACGGUCACACUGGGACUGAGACACGGCCCAGACUCCUACGGGAGGCAGCAGUGGGGAAUAUUGCACAAUGGGCGCAAGCCUGAUGCAGCGACGCCGCGUGAGGGAUGGAGGCCUUCGGGUUGUGAACCUCUUUCGCCAGUGAAGCAGGCCUGCCUCGUUUGUGGGUGGGUUGACAGUAGCUUGAUAAGAAGCGCCGGCUAACUACGUG